rnacentral:lncRNA from 1 species
AGAAGAGGAUUCUCAUCACUUUCACCAAAUCUCAGCCGAGAAACUCUAUAGGGGGAACUAACUGGAGUCCACCGCCUAGCAGAUCGCCGCAGAAUCAUCACAACAGUGUUCAGCCGAUAUUCAAAGUACCUUCUCCUCCGCUUGCCUCUCCAAUGCCGUUCCCAGGUGGUGUCUUACCUGUGGGAACGAGCUGGCCACUGCCACCACCUCAGCCAAGAGUGCCUGUCCCUGGCACUGGUGUGUUCCUCCCACCAGGUUCAGCCCAACAACAGGUUGUACUAGGCUCCACAGAGAAAUCCAACGACAGCAAUGGAAACAACUGUGCAGAAGGAAAGAUAUAGAGAGCAGAGAUAGAAACUUGGAGCUGCAGUUUUUAAACUAUAAAAAGAGCAGCUACUGCUAUUAAACGUUAUCUCUUUUUGUUUUGUUUUUUUUUUGUUUGCUACUUCAGAAAAUUGUUUAUUAGGAAAAAAGAGAACGAGCGAAAUUUACAUGUUUUGACGUUUUCUUCUCUCUGAAAUCACUUAGUUAUCAACUUUACAAUCAAGCGUGCUUGUGAACUAUACUUGUCAAUACCGCUCAUCCACAAAAUAGAGUUGUAUCCAUGCCAUUCCUAUAGUGUCCAUCGUUUUCAUCUACAAUAAUCAUAUGUUUGGGCUUAUUGCUGGUUUAGUCCAGUUCCUCUAGUAACUUAGUAAGUGGGCUUCAGACUACUAAUUAUAGCGUAUAUAUAACUGGUUCAAGCUUCACUCUCAAGUUUGUUAAGUUUUUGAUCUUUCAAUCCGUUUAUGUUUGAACAGAUCUCUUCUUCUGGUGGAAGGCAACUCCGCAGAUCUUGCCAAGUUUGCUAUUCACUCAAUCCCAAAGAAGAGGAUUCUCAUCACUUUCACCAAAUCUCAGCCGAGAAACUCUAUAGGGGGAACUAACUGGAGUCCACCGCCUAGCAGAUCGCCGCAGAAUCAUCACAACAGUGUUCAGCCGAUAUUCAAAGUACCUUCUCCUCCGCUUGCCUCUCCAAUGCCGUUCCCAGGUGGUGUCUUACCUGUGGGAACGAGCUGGCCACUGCCACCACCUCAGCCAAGAGUGCCUGUCCCUGGCACUGGUGUGUUCCUCCCACCAGGUUCAGCCCAACAACAGGUUGUACUAGGCUCCACAGAGAAAUCCAACGACAGCAAUGGAAACAACUGUGCAGAAGGAAAGAUAUAGAGAGCAGAGAUAGAAACUUGGAGCUGCAGU